rfam:Rhodococcus sp. CTA-806 NODE_14_length_194583_cov_4.83013_ID_27, whole genome shotgun sequence.
AUAUGUGAACUCCACUCGGAUCGUCCGGCACGUUCCUGCCGGUGAAGGAGCACCCA